AUUGAACGCUGGCGGCAUGCCUUACACAUGCAAGUCGAACGGCAGCAUGGAGAGCUUGCUCUCUGAUGGCGAGUGGCGAACGGGUGAGUAAUGCAUCGGAACGUACCGUGUAAUGGGGGAUAACGUAGCGAAAGUUACGCUAAUACCGCAUACGACCUGAGGGUGAAAGCAGGGGAUCGCAAGACCUUGCGUUAUACGAGCGGCCGAUGUCAGGUUAGCUAGUUGGUGAGGUAAAGGCUCACCAAGGCGACAAUCUGUAGCGGGUCUGAGAGGAUGAUCCGCCACCCUGGGACUGAGACACGGCCCAGACUCCUACGGGAGGCAGCAGUGGGGAAUUUUGGACAAUGGGGGCAACCCUGAUCCAGCCAUGCCGCGUGAAUGAAGAAGGCCUUCGGGUUGUAAAGCUCUUUCGGCCGGGAAGAAAUCGCACAGGCUAAUACUCUGUGUGGAUGACGGUACCGGCAUAAGAAGCACCGGCUAACUACGUGCCAGCCGCCGCAGUAA
rnacentral:rRNA from 1 species